rnacentral:rRNA from 1 species
UGGGGAAUUUUGCACAAUGGGGGAAACCCUGAUGCAGCGACGCCGCGUGAUUUAGAAGGCCUUCGGGUUGUAAAAAUCUUUUCUAUGGGAAGAAAAUGACAGUACCAUAGGAAUAAGGACCGGCUAAUUACGUGCCAGCAGCCGCGGUAAUACGUAGGUGGCAAGCGUUGUCCGGAUUUAUUGGGCGUAAAGCGAGCGCAGGCGGUCAAUUAAGUCUGAUGUGAAAGCCCCCGGCUCAACCGGGGAGGGUCAUUGGAAACUGGUUGACUUGAGUGCAGAAGAGGAGAGUGGAAUUCCAUGUGUAGCGGUGAAAUGCGUAGAUAUAUGGAGGAACACCAGUGGCGAAGGCGACUCUCUGGUCUGUAACUGACGCUGAGGUUCGAAAGCGUGGGUAGCAAACAGG